UUCAAAUGCGAAACGGACGGAAACCAGGCCUAAUGCCGAGUUCACACUGCACGAUUUUAGCCCGAUUUUUCACUCGCCGACAGGUUUUGAUAAAUCGCCGACAAAUGCCCGACAUCGGAGGCAAAUCGGAGCUCGUUCACGCGAGUGACAAUCGCGCAGUGUGAAUUACCAAAGACGCGAUCUGAGGGAAUCGCCGACAUGUCGCCGACGCCCGCGAAAUAUUUGGCAUGCUAAAUAUCUGGAGCUGUCGGCGAUUCACAAUCACGCUGUGUGCAAUGAUUUCUGACUGAAAACUACAUCGCGAUGACCUUCAGCCAAUGAGAGACAAAGAUACAGGGCAGAGGGAAGUUCAGUGAGUUAUAGACCAUAUCAGUAUUUUAAUAUGUACAAUUAUAUCAUACAGAAACAAGCACAAACGCUUGACCAGCCACAACAUCAGCAUAACAGUUACUGCAAAAUUAUUAUUUACCACUCUUUGCAGAACACAAUCCCUGUUCCCUGCAUCUCCCUCCUGCAUAAUCUGUUUUUGUUUUUGUAGCUGGAAAUCAGGGCACAGACAAUUUGCAGGCUAUAUUUUUUUUAAUACUUCCAGUCUCGCUCGAGAACUGACGCAUGCAGGUUCUGGCGUUAUUUCCUUAUCACUUCUCGCGUGUGUUUUGUUGUGAAACGUAGUUUGCGGAUCAGACAGAGUUGUCGGCGAUUCUUCCUAUUGUGAAAUCGUGCAAUGUGAAACCCCCUGUCGCCGAUCCAUCGUGCAAUGUGAACACAGCAGCGACUGAAUGCUACCCCAGAUAGUCACGCAGUGUGAAAACAACAGCGAUCCGACGAGUUUGAAAAUCGUGCAGUGUGAACUCGGCAUAAAGGGUAACGGCAAAGUGUUUUUUUUUUUAGAGAGAGUUCCCUUUAUAUGACGACAGUUGACAGAUCCUUUACUUAGCUACGAACACAACGCAUUCACCUCAGAGAAAAGAAGUACUGAUUUCAUUUCGCGUACAUUUCACUAUUCAUCUUCCGUUACAACUUAUGUGUUUUUCUGGACAAGUCCAAGUGAACUGCGAGUCUGCGACGAGUCACAUGAACGCGCGCCGUCCAGACCAAAGAACGGCCGAGGCCCAUCAGUGGGACAUUUCCUUGGUUUGCUCACAUCAGGUCAGAGGAUGGAAUCUCCUGGAUCAAGGUUAAUAAUAAAAGGC